GCUAGUAUAGCUCAAUUGGUAGAGCAACUGAUUUGUAAUCAGUAGGUUAAGGGUUCAAAUCCCCUUACUAGCU
rnacentral:tRNA from 1 species